rnacentral:rRNA from 1 species
GAAUUCGCCCUUAGAGUUUGAUCCUGGCUCAGGACGAACGCUGGCGGCGCGCCUAACACAUGCAAGUCGAACGAGAGAUGAGGAGCUUGCUCUUCAAAUCGAGUGGCGAACGGGUGAGUAACGUGUGAGGAACCUGCCUCAAAGAGGGGGACAACAGUUGGAAACGACUGCUAAUACCGCAUAAGCCCACGGCUCGGCAUCGAGCAGAGGGAAAAGGAGCAAUCCGCUUUGAGAUGGCCUCGCGUCCGAUUAGCUAGUUGGUGAGGUAACGGCCCACCAAGGCGACGAUCGGUAGCCGGACUGAGAGGUUGAACGGCCACAUUGGGACUGAGACACGGCCCAGACUCCUACGGGAGGCAGCAGUGGGGAAUAUUGCACAAUGGGGGAAACCCUGAUGCAGCGACGCCGCGUGGAGGAAGAAGGUCUUCGGAUUGUAAACUCCUGUUGUUGAGGAAGAUAAUGACGGUACUCAACAAGGAAGUGACGGCUAACUACGUGCCAGCAGCCGCGGUAAAACGUAGGUCACAAGCGUUGUCCGGAAUUACUGGGUGUAAAGGGAGCGCAGGCGGGAGAACAAGUUGGAAGUGAAAUCCAUGGGCUCAACCCAUGAACCGCUUUCAAAACUGUUUUUCUUGAGUAGUGCAGAGGUAGGCGGAAUUCCCGGUGUAGCGGUGGAAUGCGUAGAUAUCGGGAGGAACACCAGUGGCGAAGGCGGCCUACUGGGCACCAACUGACGCUGAGGCUCGAAAGUGUGGGUAGCAAACAGGAUUAGAUACCCUGGUAGUCCACACCGUAAACGAUGAUU